rnacentral:rRNA from 1 species
AGAGCGAACGCUGGCGGCGUGCUUAACACAUGCAAGUCGAACGCGCAGCAUUCUGUAGCAAUACAGGGUGUGGGCGCGUGGCGAACGGGUGCGUAACACGUGGAUAACCUUCCUUCAGGUGGGGAAUAACCCAGUGAAAAUUGGGCUAAUACCGCAUAACAAAACGAUGAGACAUCUUGUUGUUUUCAAAGGCGCAAGUCGCCAGAAGAGGGAUCCGCGGCCGAUUAGCUUGUUGGCGAGGUAAUGGCUCACCAAGGCAAUGAUCGGUAGCCGGACUGAGAGGUUGGCCGGCCACACUGGAACUGAGACACGGUCCAGACUCCUACGGGAGGCAGCAGUGGGGAAUCUUGCACAAUGGGCGAAAGCCUGAUGCAGCAACGCCGCGUGGGGAUGAAGCUUCUCGGAGUGUAACCCCUUUCGACCCGGAAGAAGCCCGCAAGGGUUGACGGUACGGGUAUAAGAAGCCCGGCUAACUACGCGCCAGCAGCCGCGGUAAU